rnacentral:lncRNA from 1 species
GUAGCAUGACUCAUUUCUACACUUUAUGGCUACUAAGUUCUGUACACAAAGAUUCUUCCCCACAAGAGGUUUGCAAUCUAAUGAAAGAAAUAGCCUCCCCUAUAAAUAAUAGAAUACACUCCAUCCAGAGACAUCGUUAUUCUUUGGUUUCUUAGUAACCUUGUAAGAUGCCAAUCCAAUAGUGAGGACACGCUUUUUGAGAAAAAGGAAAAAGAAGGUUUAUUGCUUUGUUGGCAAAGGAGAAACACAGGGGACUGCUGUCCCAAAGGCUGUGAUUCUCCCCAUCAUUUCUUAAUCUUAUUCUUAGAGAACAGAAAGCUCAGACAGGUAUUAAGAGAAGACCAUGGAACUAGUGCUACUAGUGGCUCUCUAAGGGCUCACCAUUGGAUUUCUUCCACUGUUCUGAUCCUCAGGAAGUACUUUUAGAAAAAAAAAAAAAAAAAACAUUUAGAAAAUAGAAGCAGACCCUUUAUUCAAGCUUACAUAAUUGUGGACUGACUGUGUUUGCACAUCUCCGGAACUGAAAAAUAAUUCCACCAGUCAAGGUGCUUCCUGUGUGGGCAGUUUACUUCCUUAUAGUCAUCUAUGGAAGAGGUGGGAAAGCAAACUGUCAAAAAGAUGCAUUAUUUUUAGCAAUCUUUCUCCCUGGCCAAAUAAAUGUAGUAGAAAGGUAAAUAGCCUGUGAUUUCUGAGGUUACCCUGGUUAGGAUUUCAAAUAAUUUUAUAGAAUUUCCUUAGCUAAGCACUUAGAGAGACUUGAGCCCACAUUCUCCAGCUCUACCAUGCUUGCCUGGAAUUUCUUUCCAAGUCACCUGUGACAACUGCCUGGAGCAUUUCCAGUUCAUCAUAGCUGCCAGCCACCCCUGCACCAUCAGGCCUGAAGCAAAUUUGCCUACCUGCUAGGUUAUAAUUAGAGGGGUUCCUUUUUGGAAGCAUGUACAAACUCUCAGUGAACAAGAAAUAGUAUUUAUAGGCAAUGAAUCCCCUUGAAAAGAGAACAUUUUCAAACUUGUAGAUCAACUAGUAUAAUGUUUCAUACAUUAAAUGCAGUAUUGACGAAUGCAGAAGUUAGUGGUAGUAGUAAAAUGGAUUUAGAUUAGGCAGAUGGAACAAGAUGUGGGAAAGAGUGAAGCAGUCAUAAUGCUUGAUUAAUAUUCUCUUUUGCUCUUCUUCACACAAAACAAAGCUUGUUUCUCCUUGGAUAAUAAACAGCAGAAUUGCUCACAAUAGCUUAUAGUUUAACAGCGAAUUUUGAGUAUGAAGGAAUUAUGCUCCCUGAAACAAGACCUCAGUUCUAUUGUUUGACAUAUCCCAGAACCAUGUUUGGAGACCCCAUGUGGUAGAGCAAAGAGCUUGGUGGACAAGCAGAAUGACCCAGGCAGGACUCCUGGGUCUCCUAGGCCAUGGACAGCUGCUUCAGUCUCAGAGCCAGUUUCUUUGUCUAUAAAAUGGGAAUAAUGUUGCUCUGUAUUUCCUAGGCAUGUGAUGAAAAUUCAGUGACAUAAAACAUAUAAAAAACUUGCCAGCUGCCUGGACUUGGGUGGCAUUU